GUACACGCUGUGACUAGCAUAUCAAUAAGCGGAGGAAAAGAAACUAACAAGGAUUCCCUCUAGUAACGGCGAGUGAAGCGGGAAGAGCUCAAAUUUGAAAUCUUAAAGGGUUUCCCUUUACGAAUUGUAGUUUAAAGAAGUGUUUUCUGUUGAGGUUUUGGUAAAAGUUCUUUGGAAUAGGACAUCAUAGAGGGUGAGAAUCCCGUAUUUGACCUUUACUUUCAACUUUGUGAUACACUUUCAAAGAGUCGGAUUGUUUGGGAAUGCAGUCCAAAAUGGGUGGUAAAUUUCAUCUAAAGCUAAAUAUUGGCGAGAGACCGAUAGCGAACAAGUACCGUGAGGGAAAGAUGAAAAGAACUUUGAAAAGAGAGUUAAACAGUACGUGAAAUUGUCAAAAGGGAAGCGUUUGACACCAGUGUUGUUUUUCUGAAAAUCAAUUAAAGAACUGUUUAUGCUAAGCUGUUUAGACUUUAUCAGCUAACUGUUUAGUUUUGAGCUUUUCUUUAAUGCACUUUUCAGUUAACAAGUCAACAUCAAUUUCUUUUGCUGUAAAAAAGCUUGAGGAAGGUGGCUUGAGAUUCGUCUUAAGUGUUUAUAGCCUCUUGCCUAUGCAGUCGGAGAGAUUGAGGUCUGCAGCGUAGAUCCUUCGGGGCUAAAUGCAUUUGUGCUAAGUUAUAGCAUUUUAUAGACAACUUGUUGACUAUGAUUUGUCUUGUAGCUUACUCGCUUAUGUUAUUUUACCUACGCUUAGGAUGUUGAGUCGUAGAGCACGCAG
rnacentral:rRNA from 1 species